GACGAACGCUGGCGGCGUGCUUAACACAUGCAAGUCGAACGGAAAGGCCCUGCUUUUGUGGGGUGCUCGAGUGGCGAACGGGUGAGUAACACGUGAGUAACCUGCCCUUGACUUUGGGAUAACUUCAGGAAACUGGGGCUAAUACCGGAUAGGAGCUCCUGCUGCAUGGUGGGGGUUGGAAAGUUUCGGCGGUUGGGGAUGGACUCGCGGCUUAUCAGCUUGUUGGUGGGGUAGUGGCUUACCAAGGCUUUGACGGGUAGCCGGCCUGAGAGGGUGACCGGCCACAUGGGGACUGAGAUACGGACCAGACUCCUACGGGAGGCAGCAGGGGGGAAUAUUGCACAAUGGGCGGAAGCCUGAGGCAGCAACGCCGCGUGCGGGAUGACGGCCUUCGGGUUGUAAACCGCUUUCGCCUGUGACGAAGCGUGAGUGACGGUAAUGGGUAAAGAAGCACCGGCUAACUACGUG
rnacentral:rRNA from 1 species